CCCAGCUACUUGGGAGGCUGAGGCAGAAGAAUCGCUUGAACCCAGGAGGCGGAGGUUGCAUGGGCUGAGAUUGUGCCACUGUACUCCAGCCUGGACAACAGAGUGAGACCCUAUGUCUCAAAACAGUAAUAAUAAUAAAUGAAGAGCUCCCAAUAUAUCAUAAGCACAAGUCUUUUCUCAGAUAUACUAUUUGCAAAUAUUUUCUUCCAGUCUGUAACACGUCUUUUCAUUUUCUUGAUAACGUCUUUUGAAGCACAAAAAUCUCCAAUUUUGAUGUUCAAAUUAGCAUCUUCUUCUAUGGAUUGUGAUUUUGGUGACAUAUUUAAGAAACCUCUGUCUAAUCCAAGGUCACUGAGAUUUUCUCCUAUGUCUUCUAAAAGUUUUAUCGUUUACUUCUUAUAUUUAGGUCUAUGAUCUACUUUGCAAUUUCUGUGUCAGACAAUACGUAAAAGGUCCAUACAUAAUACUCCAAAAAGCAGAAAUAGCCAGGUGCAGAGGCUGAUGCCUAUAAUCCCAGCAAUCUGGGAGGCUGAGAUGGGCAGAUCAUUUGAGCCCAAGAAUUAGAGAUCAGCCUGGGAACAUGGCAAACCCCAUUUCUACACAAAACAGAAAAUUAGCCAGGUGUGGGUGGCAUGUGCCUGUAGUACCAGCUACCCAGGAGAGUGAGGUGGAGGGAUCAUCUAAACCCUGGAAGUUUAGGCUGCAGGGAUCCCUGAUGGUGCCGCUGCACACCACCCUAGGCAAAAAAAUGAAAUCCUGAAAAAAAAAAGGA